rnacentral:lncRNA from 8 species
CUAAUUUGAAGGGGUGUGCACAUACUUUUGUAUAUAGUGUAUUUUAUUGUAGUGCCAUGUAGCCAUCCCACAUGGGAUUAUAAGACACAUUGAUAUUAGAAUCAGUUCGAGCACCAUCGUAAAAAUGAAUUAAAAAUAAACAAUUAUGAGGCUCAAAGCAGUGUUCCCAGCAAACUCUUAAUACUGACAACCACAUUUCUUUCAGCACUGUCAAAUCUCUCUCUCUCUCUCGGAGAAGAUGGCUCUCAUUGACCUCAUCGAGUGGUUUCAACUCCUGAAGGGCCACUCCAUACUCAUCCUGGAAGGCACCUUUAAGAAGAGCCUUCUCCCUAAGAGCAUCUAUGUUACUGGAAAGUGACAAUACACAUAGCUGCCCUGAGGAAUCCCCACUUCAUGGGCUGGACAACCUCCUGGCAGAGUAUGCUGAGGGUCACCCCAAGUCCUACAUCCAGAUUGUCGACAAAGAAGUGAAGUUAGCUGAAACAGGAAAGAUCUGGGUGGAUGAGGACAGGGUGGAUCACAACCCCAAAAUGAAACGCCACCAGGGAACCUCCUGUUUCUUAACACUCUUUAUUAAUUACAGAUGAAGCUACAUAACAAUCAUUACAGAUACAAAAUAUUUCAUUAUCUGAGAUCAGUUUUAAUGAGCAAGAGAACUGCUGCACAUAGAUAGCAACUCAGAGACUCUCACAUGGUUGCUAAUUUUUGCAUUCUCAGGCUGAUCAUUGUUUUAUUAUUUUAGGUGAUCAAACUCCCUUGAUUGUCAGUGAUUUACCUGUAAGGGUGUAGUUAAAGAUAUGGCCCUUUGAGAUAUAAUAUGUUUUAGUGCUUGACAAAUAUAUUUCUCUUGUGACACCCAUGUAGCUUCUCCGGAACUGAGUCAUCCUCUUCAGUUCUCUAGAAAAUAAACAUUUAGCUGGAAUGGAUUGGGCUGAGAACAUCCCACCCUCCCUCUCUCUGUCAGCGUUACCCUAUAAAAGCAGAGCCAUCUCUCCACUCUGCACUAGAACACCUGAUUACUACAACCUUCAAGCGCGCCAUCGCAUCGAGGAAGAACACACAGACACAGCAAUGGAUUGUGCUUCAACUGUCGUCACUUCACAUACCAACAGCAAAAACGACUGCAAUAAAAAAAAAUGUGUUGCCCCAUGUCCUACUGAAUCAGGCAAAAACAUAUCAGGUCAAAACAUAUCAGGCCAAAACAUAUCAGGCCAAAACAUAUCAGGCAGUGUGGGCGGAAGUAUUUCCAUUGGCAACCAGGACAAUACCAUCACUCAUACCGGUAUGUAACCCUAUCCAGCGGGAGGGAAUCUUCAUAUGAAUGAAUAAAUACAUCAAUUCAUAUUUUAUUGUUUUGUGGCCAUCCAACAUGGGAAUAUAACACACAUUGAUAUUAGACAUUUCAAAGCAUAAAGCAAUUACAUGUCCAUACACAUACACAUUUCACAGCUCAGUUCCAGAACCAGCAUAAAAAAUGGUUUAUUGUUGCUCAUAGCAGGGUUCUAUGCAAACUCCUAAUACUGACAACCACAUUUAUUUCAGCACUGUCAAUGACUCUCUCUCGUUCUCUUAGCUUAACAAACAACUCCCAGAAAAACUGUCGCACCCAGCAUCACCAUAGCCAACAUAACAGGUGGCAAAGUGGGUCUCUACUACAAGGCAGAGAAGAUGGCUCUCUGUGACCUCAUCGAGGGAAGUCAACUCAGGAAGGGCCACUCCAUUCUCAUCCUGGAAAACACCUUUAAGAAGACCCCUCUUCCUCCUCUAUGUCACUGGCUUCCAAGUAGAAAGUGACAAUACACACAGAUUAAACUACAUACAAAUUAUUGAUUAAAAAUAAAGAGAGAAUAAAUCUCAGAUAAGUGAAAAAGUGCUACAAGAUAUACUUUGAUUGUAUGUUCAAAUUCAGCAAUGUAAUCAAUGUAGGUUUUUGACAAAAAAAUAAAUGGUACCAAACUGAGAAAAUGUUAGUAUGUGUUCUGUAAGAUGUUAUCAUGAGUGUGUGUGUGUGUGUGUGUGUGUGUGUGUGUGUGUGUGUGUGUGUGUGAUAACAUUACAUGACUGGGGUUGCCACCAGAUAUCCUACAUACUGAUACUAAUUUUAACAAAGGUCAACAACACAAUCUUGUAAUCAAAGUUUUAUUUCUAAGGUUGAAGUCAUGUUAUUGCAAGACACUUACAGGGAGCACAAAUAUAUAUAGCAGAGACAAAGUCUGCACAUUUCCUCAUUACAUUGGAUUUGAAAAUCAUUUGAACUAGAAUGUUAGAUAAAUGCAGUGUUUCCCAACUAAAGGUUUGAUGAUUAGUUGAAUCAAGUGUGUUAGUGCUAAGGAAAAAACUAAAAUACAACUACUUUCACGCCACAUGGCUCUGUCCACCCACCCUACAAUUCUGGAAAGAAACCAUACACAAACUGUCCCCCAUUUUGCGUCACAGCAUUCCACUCUUCC